AACCGCGUGAUGCAAUUGUGACCAUUUUCCGGCUCUGUAACCAUUUUUCUCUCUCUGGUUUUAGUGUUUUCUCUGGACGUAGUGCAAUGUAUUUAUCCUAAAUUUUUGUGAUAUCAUUAUUUAUUAUUUAUUUAUAUUAUGCAACGCGUUGUCGCGGUCGACAUUUGAAAUCCGCCGGUGUCGCACUUGCAUCAUAUAUAUGUACGCAAAAUACGUACGGCGUAUCCAAUCGAAUCGCAAAAGGGUUAUCUUAUCUAAAAACUGGCGUACGAGUUUCCUCUCUUCAUUUUCAAUGAAUCAUUGAACGACAUUGAAUUGAACUGACGCGUACGCCCACGUGUGUCAUGGUCUUGUCAAUUGUUGUCGUAAAGCUACUUCAAAAGUGUAAUAAGAAAUAAAUCUUGCAGUGUCGGCUGCGUUAAGAAUCCAGCUGAUUUAUCAUCUAACUGAACUGAAAUGACGCGGGAAAUUAGUAUCAUCGCCAAGAUGAAAUGUGUGGAGGACAGUUUGCAAAACACUUGGUACAAGGUUCAAGUGAUCGAGCAGAAGCUGAAAACUAAGUUAUUUACCAUCGAGAAUCGCGAGAGAUUGGAGAACGAAUUGAAAAAAGUCAAAGAGGUUCUCAAAAAAAACGAAGAAGAAUUGAAAACUUUAAGAAAA